AGGACGAACGCUGGCGGCGUGCUUAACACAUGCAAGUCGAACGGUAAGGCCCCUUCGGGGGUACACGAGUGGCGAACGGGUGAGUAACACGUGGGUAAUCUGCCCUGCACUUCGGGAUAAGCCUGGGAAACUGGGUCUAAUACCGGAUAUGAACUCCUGCCGCAUGGUGGGGGUUGGAAAGUUUUUCGGUGCAGGAUGAGCCCGCGGCCUAUCAGCUUGUUGGUGGGGUAAUGGCCUACCAAGGCGACGACGGGUAGCCGACCUGAGAGGGUGACCGGCCACACUGGGACUGAGACACGGCCCAGACUCCUACGGGAGGCGGCAGUGGGGAAUAUUGCACAAUGGGCGAAAGCCUGAUGCAGCGACGCCGCGUGAGGGAUGAAGGCCUUCGGG
rnacentral:rRNA from 1 species